rnacentral:rRNA from 1 species
UGGGGAAUAUUGCACAAUGGGGGAAACCCUGAUGCAGCGACGCCGCGUGAGCGAAGAAGGCCUUCGGGUCGUAAAGCUCUUUUAUGAGGGAAGAUAAUGACGGUACCUCAAGAAAAAGCCCCGGCUAACUACGUGCCAGCAGCCGCGGUAAUACGUAGGGGGCUAGCGUUGUCCGGAAUCACUGGGCGUAAAGGGUUCGCAGGCGGAAUAACAAGUCAGAUGUGAAAGGCAUGGGCUCAACCCAUGUAAGCAUUUGAAACUGUAAUUCUUGAGAAGUGGAGAGGUAAGUGGAAUUCCCAGUGUAGCGGUGAAAUGCGUAGAUAUUGGGAGGAACACCAGUAGCGAAGGCGGCUUUCUGGACUGCAACUGACACUGAGGCACGAAAGCGUGGGUAGCAAACAGG